rnacentral:rRNA from 1 species
UACGUAGGGUGCAAGCGUUGUCCGGAAUUACUGGGCGUAAAGAGCUCGUAGGCGGUCCGUUAAGUCGGAAGUGAAAUCUCAAGGCUCAACCUUGAAAUCGCUUUCGAUACUGUCGGACUUGAGGCAGGUAGGGGAAGGUGGAAUUCCUGGUGUAGCGGUGAAAUGCGCAGAUAUCUGGAGGAACAUCGGUGGCGAAGGCGGCAUCCUGGACCGGUAUUGACGCUGAGGCGCGAAAGCGUGGGUAGCAAACAGG